CCGGGUUGAUCCUGCCGGAGGUCACUGCUAUUGGGAUUCGACUAAGCCAUGCGAGUCGAGAGGGUUUGGCCCUCGGCUGACGGCUCAGUAACACGUGGAUAAUCUGCCCUAAGGUGGAGGAUAACCUCGGGAAACUGAGAAUAACACUCCAUAGGUCUAGGAGGCUGGAAUGCACUUAGGCUGAAAACUUCGGUGCCUUAGGAUGAGUCUGCGGACUAUCAGGUUGUAGUCAGGGUAAAGACCUGACUAGCCUACGACGGAUACGGGUUGUGAGAGCAAUAACCCGGAGAUGAUAUCUGAGACACGAUAUCAGGCCCUACGGGGCGCAGCAGGCGCGAAAACUUCGCACUGCGCGAAAGCGCGACGAGGGAAUCCCAAGUGUAUGCACGUAAGUGUAUACUGUUUCUUUGUCUAAAAAGCAGAGAGAGUAAGAGCUGGGUAAGACGGGUGCCAGCCGCCGCGGUAAUACCUGCAGCUCGAGUGGUGAUCGUUAUUAUUGGGCCUAAAACGUCCGUAGCCGGUCUUCUAAAUGCCUGGGUAAAUCGUAUGGCUUAACCAUACGAAUUCCGGGUAGACUGUUAGACUUGAGACCGGGAGAAGCUAGAGGUACUCCUGGGGUAGAGGUGAAAUUCUGUAAUCCUAGGGGGACGACCAGUGGCGAAGGCGUCUAGCUAGAACGGGUCUGACGGUGAGGGACGAAGCCCUGGGGCGCAAACGGGAUUAGAUACCCCGGUAGUCCAGGGUGUAAACGCUGCUUGCUUGAUGUUAGUCUGGCUCCGAGCCAGAUUAGUGUCGGAGAGAAGUUGUUAAGCAAGCUGCCUGGGAAGUACGGCCGCAAGACUGAAACCUAAAGGAAUUGGCGGGGGAGCACAGCAACGGGUGGAGCGUGCGGUUUAAUUGGAUUCAACGCCGG
rnacentral:rRNA from 1 species